UACAGAGGGGGCAAGCGUUAUUCGGAUAUACUGGGCGUAAAGCGCACGUAGGCGGCGUCGUAAGUCAGGGGUGAAAUCCCGGAGCUCAACUCCGGAACUGCCCUUGAAACUGCAAUGCUAGAAUCUUGGAGAGGCGAGUGGAAUUCCGAGUGUAGAGGUGAAAUUCGUAGAUAUUCGGAAGAACACCAGUGGCGAAGGCGACUCGCUGGACAAGUAUUGACGCUGAGGUGCGAAAGCGUGGGGAGCAAACAGG
rnacentral:rRNA from 1 species